GUAACUGACAGGAAGGGAAUUAGUAACUGACAGGAAGGAGAAGACGCCUGCGAAGGCUGAAACUGCAGUCUUGUUUGAGAAACUUAGAGAGCUUGGCAUUCUUGUUGGGAAAUGUUUUCAGAAUCAAACCACCAAAGAUGAUGCAGAUUUUUUUGUUGAUGCUUUGGACUAUGCAAUGUCAAGGUUACGAGAGUAUUAGUCUUUUAAGAGCCUGGGAAAAUCAUGUAAAUCUUUCAACUCCUUUAAUAUUCAAACUCAUAAGAGAGCUUUUUUUCAAUAAUAUCAAGCAUAUUUACACAAAUUUCAGCUCACUGUUAAAUGAUGAAAUGUAUAUUUCAAUCACAAUAUACAA